rnacentral:misc_RNA from 1 species
GAAAUGCGAUAAGUAGUGUGAAUUGCAGAAUUCAGUGAAUCAUCGAAUCUUUGAACGCACAUUGCGCCCUUUGGUAUUCCAAAGGGCAUGCCUGUUCGAGCGUCAUUUGUACCCUCAAGCUUUGUUUGGUGUUGGGCGUCUUGUCUCUAGCUUUGCUGGAGACUCGCCUUAAAGUAAUUGGCAGCCGGCCUACUGGUUUCGGAGCGCAGCACAAGUCGCACUCUCUAUCAGCAAAGGUCUAGCAUCCAUUAAGCCUUUUUUCAACUUUUGACCUCGGAUCAGGUAGGGAUACCCGCUGAACUUAAGC